GUCCACGCCGUAAACGAUGGAUGCUAGGUGUUGGGGGUAUUGACCCCUCCAGCGCCGCAGUUAACGCAUUAAGCAUCCCGCCUGGGGAGUACGGCCGCAAGGCUAAAACUCAAAGGAAUUGACGGGGGCCCCGCACAAGCGGUGGAGCAUGUGGUUUAAUUCGACGCAACGCGCAGAACCUUACCUGGGUUAAAUCCACCGGAACCUUGCAGAGAUGUAGGGGUGCCCUUCGGGGAAUCGGUGAGAAGGUGCUGCAUGGCUGUCGU
rnacentral:rRNA from 1 species